CUUUUAACUCUUUCUGUGUUACUAC
rnacentral:other from 1 species